UACGUAGGGUGCAAGCGUUGUCCGGAAUUAUUGGGCGUAAAGAGCUCGUAGGCGGUCUGUCGCGUCGGCUGUGAAAACCUGGGGCUUAACUCCGGGCCUGCAGCCGAUACGGGCAGACUAGAGUUCGGCAGGGGAGACUGGAAUUCCUGGUGUAGCGGUGAAAUGCGCAGAUAUCAGGAGGAACACCAAUGGCGAAGGCAGAUCUCUGGGCCGUAACUGACGCUGAGGAGCGAAAGCAUGGGGAGCGAACAGG
rnacentral:rRNA from 1 species